GCCAGACUCCUACGGGAGGCAGCAGUGAGGAAUAUUGGUCAAUGGCCGAGAGGCUGAACCAGCCAAGUCGCGUGAAGGAUGAAGGAUCUAUGGUUUGUAAACUUCUUUUAUAUGGGAAUAAAGUGAGGAACGUGUUCCUUUUUGUAUGUACCAUAUGAAUAAGCAUCGGCUAACUCCGUGCCAGCAGCCGCGGUAAUACGGAGGAUGCGAGCGUUAUCCGGAUUUAUUGGGUUUAAAGGGUGCGCAGGCGGAAUGUCAAGUCAGCGGUAAAAUUUCGGGGCUCAACCCCGUCGUGCCGUUGAAACUGGCGUUCUUGAGUGAGCGAGAAGUAUGCGGAAUGCGUGGUGUAGCGGUGAAAUGCAUAGAUAUCACGCAGAACUCCGAUUGCGAAGGCAGCAUACCGGCGCUCAACUGACGCUCAUGCACGAAAGCGUGGGUAUCGAACAGGAUUAGAUACCCCGGUAGG
rnacentral:rRNA from 1 species